rnacentral:rRNA from 1 species
UACGUAGGGUCCAAGCGUUAUCCGGAAUCACUGGGCGUAAAGGGUGCGUAGGUGGCGUGGUAAGUCGGGUGUGAAAUUUCGGAGCUUAACUCCGAAACUGCAUUCGAUACUGGCGUGCUUGAGGACUGGAGAGGAGACUGGAAUUCAUGGUGUAGCAGUGAAAUGCGUAGAGAUCAUGAGGAAGACCAGUGGCGAAGGCGGGUCUCUGGACAGUUCCUGACACUGAGACACGAAGGCCAGGGGAGCAAACGGG